UACGGAGGGGGUUAGCGUUGUUCGGAAUGACUGGGCGUAAAGCGCGCGUAGGCGGAUCGGAAAGUCGGGGGUGAAAUCCCGGGGCUCAACCCCGGAAUGGCCUUCGAAACUCCCGGUCUUGAGUUCGAGAGAGGUGAGUGGAAUUCCGAGUGUAGAGGUGAAAUUCGUAGAUAUCAGGAGGAACACCAGUGGCGAAGGCGGCUUUCUGGACGAUAACUGACGCUGAGACGCGAAAGCGUGGGGAGCAAACAGG
rnacentral:rRNA from 1 species